rnacentral:rRNA from 1 species
AGCGAACGCUGGCGGCAGGCUUAACACAUGCAAGUCGAGCGGGCCCUUCGGGGUCAGCGGCGGACGGGUGAGUAACGCGUGGGAACGUGCCUUCUGGUUCGGAAUAACUCAGGGAAACUUGAGCUAAUACCGGAUACGCCCUUUUGGGGAAAGGUUUACUGCCGGAAGAUCGGCCCGCGUCUGAUUAGCUAGUUGGUGGGUAACGGCCUACCAAGGCGACGAUCAGUAGCUAGUCUGAGAGGAUGAUCAGCCACACUGGGACUGAGACACGGCCCAGACUCCUACGGGAGGCAGCAGUGGGGAAUAUUGGACAAUGGGCGCAAGCCUGAUCCAGCCAUGCCGCGUGAGUGAUGAAGGCCUUAGGGUUGUAAAGCUCUUUUAUCCGGGACGAUAAUGACGGUACCGGAGGAAUAAGCCCCGGCUAACUUCGUG